rnacentral:rRNA from 1 species
UACAGAGGGUGCGAGCGUUAAUCGGAAUUACUGGGCGUAAAGCGUGCGUAGACGGUUAUUUAAGUCGGGUGUGAAAGCCCCGGGCUCAACCUGGGAAUUGCAUUCGAGACUGCUCUGCUAGGGUGCGGAAGAGGGGAGCGGAAUUUCCGGUGUAGCGGUGAAAUGCGUAGAUAUGUGGAAGAACACCAGUGGCGAAGGCGGUUUUCUAGUUUAUACCUGACGCUGAGGCGCGAAAGCAAGGGGAGCAAACAGG